AUUUAAUUAGUAUAUACUAGUACACUUAAUUUCCAAUUAAAAAGAUUUUGUUUAAAAAUUAAAUA
rnacentral:tRNA from 1 species